ACAAUGAAAAAAUAGAUGAUCUGUGGUUUCUAUAUCAUCACAGAAUAUACAUUUAUUAGAAUCAAACCCAAACCUAAGUCGUAGGAAUUCACUGGAUGGAUAUAUCCCAUUUAAAAUUUUAAAAGGUACAAACUACAAAUAAACCACUGUGCAGAAAAAAAGUGCACAACAAUGAAGGGGUCACGCUCUAAAAUAUCAAGAGUGCAAAACAGACACAUUACACUAGUGUGUGACUAUAAAACAGAGCAAGUUUUUACAAAUGGGAAAUAAUCAAGAAAAUCAAGAAUUCAGCCGCUCUGCAGGAAUAUGCACUAUGCAAAAAACAGCAAGAAGUUUACACACGCACACAAAUGAACUGGUGUGGCUGUAACAAUUAUGGUAACAUUGAGCUUUUAAAGACUUUAAAAAGAGGUUGAAAUCAGAUCUGAUUCUGGCCCAGAUUAAUUGAUGUGUAACCCGGGUAACCUAAGAAAAGGAAAACAAAUUCUAGAAGAAAUAGAGAUUCAUCCAAUCACUGAUUCGUGCUGCAAUGAGAGACACCCCUAAGAGCCAAUAGUAGCGGCGCAUUCAUAAGUCCCGCCCACUGGUCUCGCCGGCGCUGCUUUCAGCGUGAGCAGAUGAGAGAGAGAGAGAGAGUCAGAGGAGAUCAGCACAGACGGACCAGACAGUUUCUCCAGAAAAUCCACUCAUCUAACUGGAGAUGUGAUCGAGUGCACUGAAAGUGGAGCUUUUGAAGUCGACGCGUCAGCCUGAAGUGAUGUCGCCGGAGACAGAGAAGAGAGAGACGGAGCGGAUCCCAGAGUGUUGAAGCACUACCGAAAGGAAAAGGACAGUGAUUCCCAAACCACAGAGAAAUGAAUGACUGUUGAUGAGGAUCAAGCACAACCUCGACAGAGACUCAGAAGAGGCUGAAAAAAUGGAGGAAAACGAAAAAUUGAGAAACGAUGACAAAAAAAGCUACCAAAUCUGUUAAAUGAAGUGAAGAUGGCCCUGAAGUCUCAGUGUUCGUCAGCAUCAGUCACAUGACUUGGAAGAUGGGACAGGAUUUGCCACAGAGAGCAACGUUGCAGAAAGUGUCCUCAUGUGGUGACCGCCAGCAUUGGUACAGCAAUUAAUGCCAAACUUACUGAAAUUAGAGGGAAGAAAACACAAAAACAUCAACGGUCUUUGAUGAUUGAUAGCCGUGACAGUGUGUUCAAGGUAUUUUGUUGUUGUUGUUGGAGUGUGUGUGUGUGUGUGUGUGUGUGUGUGUGUUUUGCCUUUGCAAAGUUCAGUUUGAUAUCAAGUUGUAAUUUUAAAUUACUCUUGUGGAGUAUAAUUUGAUUGUCUUGUUGAUUGUGUUGAAAUAAAAGUAUUUCUGAUGUAAAUUUGUGCAAGUAAUUGACUGAAAUCAUAUAUGAUUUGUAUAUGCAGAGAUAUUGUAAUAUUGACUGAAAUCAUAAAAGAUAUUUAUAUGUAGAGAUAUGAGGUAUUAGGUGGAAACAUAUAAAGUUUGAAGAACAGACACACAAUUUACCUAUUAAAAACAUAUAUAAUCUGUAUAAAAUUCAUAUGAGCAAAUAAUGCAAAAUUUAAAUGAAUCCUAUAUGACUUGCAUAUGAUUCAAUCAAGAAUUUUAAAUGAUUUGUAUAGGAAAUUUACUGAUAUUCAUACACAUUUUCUACUAAAAUCAUAUACUAUUACAUACUGUUGUCAUGUAAAACUCAUAUAAGAAUUUUGCAGUAUUCAUAUAUGACCUAAAAAUCCCAUACAUGUUUUAUGUGUGCUUUUUAGUAUGAAAGUGGCCAUAAUCGGUCUGAUUUUGUAUAUGACAUGUAUUGGACUUAUAUGAAACACAUAAGGAAAUUCUGGCUGAUUUGAUUAAAGAAUAUAUAUGGUUGCUGUAUAUGAAACAUACAGGUUUUUUUCAUAUGGGGUGAAACCCUGCACAAAAUAAAAGGUGGAAAAGAUAUGAUGACUCCUACCCCCUGAUCAGAGUGCUGAAGUGGUUAAGACCAUUAAAGAACUGGCAUUCAGUGGGGCAAUCCCCAACACACACGCUAUCAUUUUGUGUCAGAAGUCGCAAUGGGACAUUGAUAUAGAAAUACAAUUUUGGGCCAGAUACAUGUUUUUUCUGAUUUGUGUUUGAUAAAGUUUCACACUACCUCAUUGUUAUUGUGAAAUAAAAAAUGUGUUGUUGUGAUGCUUUUUAA